rnacentral:rRNA from 1 species
GUAGGUGGCAAGCGUUGUCCGGAAUUAUUGGGCGUAAAGCGCGCGCAGGCGGUUCUUUAAGUCUGAUGUGAAAGCCCACGGCUCAACCGUGGAGGGUCAUUGGAAACUGGAGAACUUGAGUACAGAAGAGGAAAGCGGAAUUCCACGUGUAGCGGCGAGAUGCGUAGAGAUGUGGAGGAACACCAGUGGCGAAGGCGGCUUUCUGGUCUGUAACUGACGCUGAGGCGCGAAAGCGUGGGGAGCAAACAGGGAUUAGAUACCCUGGUAGUCCACGCCGUAAACGAUGAGUGCUAAGUGUUAGGGGGUUUCCGCCCCCUUAGUGCUGCAGCUAACGCAUUAAGCACUCCGCCUGGGGAGUACGGCCGCAAGGCUG